AUUGAACGCUGGCGGCAGGCCUAACACAUGCAAGUCGAGCGGGUGAAGGGAGCUUGCUCCUGGAUUCAGCGGCGGACGGGUGAGUAAUGCCUAGGAAUCUGCCUGGUAGUGGGGGAUAACGUCCGGAAACGGGCGCUAAUACCGCAUACGUCCUGAGGGAGAAAGUGGGGGAUCUUCGGACCUCACGCUAUCAGAUGAGCCUAGGUCGGAGUAGCUAGUUGGUGGGGUAAAGGCCUACCAAGGCGACGAUCCGUAACUGGUCUGAGAGGAUGAUCAGUCACACUGGAACUGAGACACGGUCCAGACUCCUACGGGAGGCAGCAGUGGGGAAUAUUGGACAAUGGGCGAAAGCCUGAUCCAGCCAUGCCGCGUGUGUGAAGAAGGUCUUCGGAUUGUAAAGCACUUUAAGUUGGGAGGAAGGGCAGUAAGUUAAUACCUUGCUGUUUUGACGUUACCAACAGAAUAAGCACCGGCUAACUUCGUG
rnacentral:rRNA from 1 species